rnacentral:rRNA from 1 species
GGUCAAGUUAUUAAGGGUGCAGGGCGGAUGCCUUGGCACUAGGAGCCGAUGAAGGACGUGAUAAGCUGCGAUAAGCUUCGGGGAGUUGCACGUAAACUUUGAUCCGAAGAUUUCCGAAUGAGGAAACUCACUUAGAGUAAUGUCUAAGUAUCAUUAAGUGAAUACAUAGCUUAAUGAGGGGAACUCAGGGAACUGAAACAUCUAAGUACCUGAAGGAAGAGAAAGAAAUUCGAUUCCGUAAGUAGCGGCGAGCGAACGCGGAUUAGCCCAAACCAAUAAAGAAAACUUUAUUGGGGUUGCGGACAUAUCAUAACGAAGAGGUAUCGUAAUUGAAGAGGUUUGGAAAGACCCACCACAGAAGGUAAUAGUCCUGUAUUUUAAACGAGAAGACUUCAGAUAUGAUCCAGAGUACCACGGGACACGUGAAACCCUGUGGGAAGCAGGAGGGACCACCCUCCAAGGCUAAAUACUACCUAGUGACCGAUAGCGUAUAGUACCGUGAGGGAAAGGUGAAAAGAACCCCGGGAGGGGAGUGAAAUAGAACCUGAAACCCUGCACUUACAAGCUGUGGAAGCACAUUUCUUGUGUGACCGCGUACUUUUUGUAGAACGGGCCAACGAGUUACGUUAAGUAGCAAGGUUAAGCACUUAAGGUGCGGAGCCGUAGCGAAAGCGAGUUUUAACUGAGCGUUCAGUUACUUGACGUAGACCCGAAACCGGGCGACCUACCCAUGAGCAGGAUGAAGCGAAAGUAAAAUUUCGUGGAGGUCCGAACCCACGAGCGUUGAAAAGCUCGGGGAUGACUUGUGGAUAGCGGUGAAAUUCCAAUCGAGCCCGGAGAUAGCUGGUUCUCCCCGAAAUAGCUUUAGGGCUAGCCUCAAGGUGAGAGAUACGGAGGUAGAGCACUGAAUGUCCUAGGGGGUAUUGCACCUACCGAAGACUAUCAAACUCCGAAUGCCGUCAUCUUAUACUUGGGAGUCAGACUGUGGGUGAUAAGAUUCAUAGUCGAAAGGGCAACAGCCCAGAUCGUCAGCUAAGGUCCCUAAAUGUAAGUUAAGUGGUAAAGGAUGUGGGAUUGCACAGACAACCAGGAUGUUGGCUUAGAAGCAGCCACUCAUUCAAAGAGUGCGUAAUAGCUCACUGGUCGAGUGAUCCUGCGCCGAAGAUUUCCGGGGCUAAAACUUACUACCGAAGCUACGGCAUCAGUAAUGAUGGGUAGGGGAGCUUCCCAUACGGGUUGAAGCGUGACCGUAAGGACAUGUGGACAGUAUGGGAGUGAGAAUGUUGGCAUGAGUAGCGAGAUGUGGGUGAGAAUCCCACAGGCCGUAAACCCAAGGUUUCCAGGGGAAGGUUCGUCCGCCCUGGGUUAGUCGGGACCUAAGCUGAGGCCGAAAGGCGUAGGUGAUGGACAACAGGUUGAUAUUCCUGUACUACCGAUAACCGUUUGAGAGAAGGGAUGACACAGUAGGAUAAGCUAAGCACACUGUUGGUUAUGUGUGCCCAAGCAUUGAGGCAGUCAAAG